rnacentral:rRNA from 1 species
GUUGAACGCUGGCGGCGUGCCUAAUACAUGCAAGUCGAGCGAACAGACGAGGAGCUUGCUCCUCUGACGUUAGCGGCGGACGGGUGAGUAACACGUGGAUAACCUGCCUAUAAGACUGGGAUAACUUCGGGAAACCGGAGCUAAUACCGGAUAAUAUAUUGAACCGCAUGGUUCAAUAGUGAAAGACGGUUUUGCUGUCACGUAUAGAUGGAUCCGCGCCGCAUUAGCUAGUUGGUAAGGUAACGGCUUACCAAGGCAACGAUGCGUAGCCGACCUGAGAGGAUGAUCAGCCACACUGGAACUGAGACACGGUCCAGACUCCUACGGGAGGCAGCAGUAGGGAAUCUUCCGCAAUGGGCGAAAGCUUGACGGAGCAACGCCGCGUGAGUGAUGAAGGUCUUCGGAUCGUAAAACUCUGUUAUUAGGGAAGAACAAAUGUGUAAGUAAAUAUGCACGUCUUGACGGUACCUAAUCAGAAAGCCACGGCUAACUACGUG